UACAGAGGUCUCAAGCGUUGUUCGGAUUCAUUGGGCGUAAAGGGUGCGUAGGCGGCGCAGUAAGUCGGGUGUGAAAUCUUGGAGCUUAACUCCGAAACUGCAUUCGAUACUGCCGUGCUUGAGGACUGGAGAGGAGACUGGAAUUUACGGUGUAGCGGUGAAAUGCGUAGAUAUCGUAAGGAAGACCAGUGGCGAAGGCGGGUCUCUGGACAGUUCCUGACGCUGAGGCACGAAGGUCCAGGGGAGCAAACGGG
rnacentral:rRNA from 1 species